AGGAACAUCAUUGCUGGUUCUGCCAUUGACUAUUUAACUAGCAAGUUAUGCUAUAAUGUUACAAGAGCUUAUAUGGGAUCAUUAAUGACUUCAUUGGAAAUGGCUGGAGUGUCACUAACAUUAUUAAGAAUGAAAGAUCACUGGACAGAAUAUCUUGAUUAUCCCACUACUGCUCCUGGUUGGCCUACACAAUCCAAAGAUCCCAACCUAACUAAGGCUAACUUAAUCUACGACAAAAUUAAUAUUUUUGUACAUAUG